rnacentral:rRNA from 1 species
AGUGAACGCUGGCGGUAGGCCUAACACAUGCAAGUCGAACGGCAGCACAGUAAGAGCUUGCUCUUACGGGUGGCGAGUGGCGGACGGGUGAGGAAUACAUCGGAAUCUACUUUUUCGUGGGGGAUAACGUAGGGAAACUUACGCUAAUACCGCAUACGACCUACGGGUGAAAGCAGGGGAUCUUCGGACCUUGCGCGAUUGAAUGAGCCGAUGUCGGAUUAGCUAGUUGGCGGGGUAAAGGCCCACCAAAGCGACGAUCCGUAGCUGGUCUGAGAGGAUGAUGAGCCACACUGGAACUGAGACACGGUCCAGACUCCUACGGGAGGCAGCAGUGGGGAAUAUUGGACAAUGGGCGCAAGCCUGAUCCAGCCAUACCGCGUGGGUGAAGAAGGCCUUCGGGUUGUAAAGCCCUUUUGUUGGGAAAGAAAAGCAGCAGGUUAAUACCCCGCUGUUCUGACGGUACCCAAAGAAUAAGCACCGGCUAACUUCGUG